UUCAACUCGUGCCAAUUUUCCCCUUCCGGUGUUUCGUGGUUCCGGUAACCUGUUGCCCGAAACACCGCGAUAGUGUUGUGAUUAAUCGACGUCCCAUCCAUCAUCGAUUCCCAACGGAUCCGAUUAAUUGAUCGAUGUGCUCGAACCCUGUGAAAGAGUGAGAUUAUCAUUUUUAGAUGCUGUUAGGCUGAAUUUUUACAGGCUGAAUCAGGGUUGUUUUACUUUCUUUCGAGAUCUUUAUUGCGGUCACGUCUGGUUAAAGUAACCUGUUGCUUAGGAAUACGAUGCUGAGUAAUCCGUCGCGGAGCGCGCGUGAAAUUAACGUGACUUUUGCGGAGCUUUCGCGGAAGUCCGAUAUAUUGUGUCACGGGGAGUAAUUGGAGAUUGUAAGAACUCGAUCACUGCCAAGGGUUGUCGAAGUUUCAGAAGGUCCACGCGUCCGGGCUCGUUCACUCGGAAGUUUGAAAGGAUAUCCCAAAGGAAUCUGGCCCAAUAAUCUCUGUAUCGAAUCGGAUGUCCAAGGGUUGAAAUCGAGCCGGGCUUGUAGCGGAGGGUGACGUUCCAAACCGAAAUCGAUUCUCGAACUACGCGAGACAUCGUUUCGCGUGGAAAGUUCGAUCCAUCAGGAGCCGCUGUUAAUGCUUCGAUCGUGUCCCACAGGAUUAUCCUUCUCGAAGGAUCAGCCAUCGGAUAUCAGUGCCAUCAUGGGCUAAAUAAAUCGACCGUCGUGUCGGGAGCUCGAAACCAGAUUUAUUAUCGCCGAAAUUUUGAACGCGCUUCGAAAAUCGUCCUUCUCGAACUAUGGCAUCGAUUUUGGAAAGAAAACGAGCAACAAAAGGAGACUGAAACUCGUUAACCCUCGAAGGACGGAGAUUGGGUUAAUUGCUACCCAAACUUAUGGAACGUGUUCGACGAUCGACUGAAAUUAGAGGUCCCCAGAAACGGUCCAGUAGCUGGUGACGUGGAGACGAGGGAUCGAUGCUGCGGAACAGAAGAAGCAGAAGCAACAAAGUUGAAAAAAAGAUCAUUCGGAGGAUCGUUAGGCGAGUCACGAAAGGGGGUGGAAUGGUUUCGUCGGAGUCUGAUGAAAGUCGGGUGAACAUAAGCUGUCGAAGGGAAUGUAAAUUGUCGGAUUAGCGGUGGAAAGGAGGCAAACGAUCCGAAACAUUCGACCGGGACGUCUGAGGAAAUUUCAAAGUAUGCUUCUUAAAAUUUUACAGAGGCAAAGAAAAUCCGCGAAUCGUGACAGAUAACGGCAGGGGAUAAUAAAGUGAAGAUGCAGUGAGCUUCAAGGACGUCCGGCAGUAUCUCAGGGUCCUGAAGGGCUGACGUAGCCUAAUGCAUCCCCGGUGCGUCGUAAGUUGCUCGUUUUUCCUUGGAACGCAGUUUCCGCGUCCGUGCUGGAAAAUACGAGCCACAUAAUCCGUUACGACGAAAGGGAAGAAAAAAUCGGAAUUUGCCGAGGAGGCUUUGGAAGGUUCACUCGGGCGAAAAGUCCGAUAGGACAUUGGAUAAACGCGAGAUUCUAUAGAACCAUCUUUCGAUCAAAAGAAUUUGCCGAGUGUGAAUUUUCCAAGAUA
rnacentral:lncRNA from 1 species